AGGUGGAAAACUAGUCAUUCGCUCCGAACGCGGAGUACAAUAUGUAAGAAAAAUUCAAGAUGUUAAGUUAGUGCCAUACGAGAUGAACAAACCGAAAACAAAUGAAGCAGAAUUGACGGGUUGUUCACUAGGGAUAAGUUUCGAUGCAGCAAUGGGACAAGAUUUGAUUAAUCAAGAUAUCAAACAGGCCAGUAACGAAUUUGACAAUUUUCCAUCAAUUGAAGAGUUUAGUGUUGCGAAUCAACGACCGUGGAAGGCUGCUGAAGAGGUAAAUGACCA